UACGUAGGGGGCAAGCGUUGUCCGGAUUUAUUGGGCGUAAAGAGCGUGUAGGCGGCCAUGUAGGUCCGUUGUGAAAACUCGAGGCUCAACCUCGAGACGCCGAUGGAAACCAUGUGGCUAGAGUCCGGAAGAGGAGACUGGAAUUCCUGGUGUAGCGGUGAAAUGCGCAGAUAUCAGGAGGAACACCGAUGGCGAAGGCAGGUCUCUGGGCCAUAACUGACGCUGAGAAGCGAAAGCAUGGGGAGCGAACAGG
rnacentral:rRNA from 1 species